UAAUGUUGAAGGGAUGAGAUUUUCUUUCUAACACACCAGGUUUGCUUAAACAUGUAAAAAUUUAACGCCACGUCUGUUCAUCUCGGGAUGGACGCCAUAUUUCUCAUUGAUAAAAAAUGUAAACAAAAAAAUCAGAGUGGGAUUAGCAUUGCAAGGGCAUAACAUGACAUUCUACACAAUGAAUACCUUAGAACAGAUAUCUAAGAUGCUACACAGGUCAGGCGGGUUAAAUGCAUAAUGUCGAUCACUUGAAAUUCAUCUUGAAAAGGUGGUUAAUUUUAGUUUGUUUACAUGGUUUUUAAUUUUCCCACGACUUCUCGGCGAUUCACUGCAAAUGUAUUACUGCGCCGGACGAAAGGUAACUCUAAUAAACAACGGGAGACAACUUAGGUGUCAGCACGUGUACGAUUUUUAAAAAAAACAUGUCGAUGAUUAUAAUUUCUUAUCAAAUAAUGAAUCCUAUUCAGAUAUUCGUCUUUAAUAUUAGAAAAUUAUUAAUUUCUGUGGACAUUUGUCAAAUAAUAUUACUUACAGUGGGCUACUUUGCGCAUCAAACUGGUUUCCCCUUCAGUUGUGAGGCACUUCCGUUAUACUUUUUGACAACAAUAACAAAACACAAAAUGAAUCAAUAAAGUCACUUAUAAACCGACUGCUACUUAAAUCAGUGUAAGUAAAGUUGUUGUUACAACAUUAUACAUGUUCGUUACGUUAUGAGAUAAAGUUUAUCUUGAACUGCAUAAUCCAUUAAUUACGUUUAGAUGAUAUUGCAUUUACAACUUAUUUGACCCCGUUUUUUACGUGAAUGACAGCAUUCUCGUGCAACUCGUGCAAACAGAAUUAUGAAAAGUAUGGUGGAGAAUUCAAGGACAAAUAAUAAAUGACAUUAAAGUGAGGAUAACUGUAUAUUCGUCCAGUUUUGAUCAUUGACAUUCCUGCUGUUUAUUAGUAACUUUUGUUAACAAGAUUAGAAUGUUGCUUUUGCACAUAUACACAUUGAUUGGACCUCUCAACCAAAUUUCAUACCUUAUUUUAGGGAUUUUUAAGACAAUACAAUUCAAAAGUUUGUUGAAUGUGUUUUGAUAUUUAAGUGCAUUGUAGUUCAUGAAUACCAAGUUAAAAAUUAAUAAUGCCAACAUUUCUAGGCCUUUAUUGUAAGCCACUAGACUUCUGUAACGAUAAAUGUUUGAUGUAUUAAGGGGAAUAUACUCUUUUAGUUUUGUAAUGUGGCAUUCCUUGACCACCGUAUCUUUUCUUAUGCACUACUUUGUAAACAAACUAAAUAAUGUGUUUUAGCUCACAUAUGCGAAAUGAAAAGCAAGACAGUGAACUUAUUUCACAUUCUUUCUUUAAAUUAGAAUCUGUAGGACAUUGAUAAAUGUUUGGACAAAGUGAAGCACUAUUAUUUUCGCACCAAAAAGUCUUAAUUGUUGACUUUGAAUGUACACAAGAAGUAUUAGGUAAUUCAACAAUAACUUUCUUGCUUCAGUUUUUCUCAUUUUUAUUUUAGUGAGCAAUCCUUUGUGUACUUAUAACAGUUGAAACAGUAUUCAUUUCAUUUACCAAAACCUUGUACUUUUUUGCAGGUAAAUUUUAUAAUACCCCACCCACUUUUUUCUAAUUUCAAAGUAUGCGUCCCCUUAAUACAUAGAAAAUUAUUUUUAAUUUGCCUCAGUUUGACAUUUCUGCUUUAGAUAGUUUUAAUAAUCGGAAGGUAUUGUAUUUAGGAUUGUCCAAGAAAACCUAGACCCUUAGACGUACUUUCUGAUAAUACACUUUGUCGUGGGACCCACCGUUAGUUUUCAGAGAUGAUGACUGUUAUCAAAUCAGCUACAAGGAAAUUGACUGUGACAAAAGAUGGAGAUAUUUUCCUGGCGAAUACAAGAAAACAAUCGCUACUUUGUCAAAAUUGAAAUCUAAUGUCUCUUUCGUCUUUCGUGUAAGAGCUGUAUAUUUAGAUAGAGAGGGGUCUUACAGCGCAGAGAGCGAUGUUUUGACUAUAUGUCAAUCUCCUGCAUUUCGUUUUGCAACCGUUUCCACGAACGAAUUGAAUGCUGACUCCUCACCAACAAUAUUUCCAGUACCCAGGACCGAGGUAACGUCAGAAAGACAUAAAGCCGGGAAAAUACGGACAUUUGAAAUUGAUUUACUACAAAAGGUGAACCUCUAGUAGGGAUAGCCAAGUCCAAAACAAUCAUACUGGUUGGAGCUACGGGAAGUGGUAAGAGUACUCUCGUUGACGGAUAAUCAACUAUGUGCUAGGCGUUAAUUGGGACGAUCCAUACAGGUUUACCGUUAAAGUUGUUACUAAAGGGGACGCAGAGAGAAGGGAAAACAAGGCCUUAAGCCAAGAAGACUGAAUAACAUGUUAUACACUCAAUCCCGAAAAUGGUAGUCGCCUUAGCUAUCAACUAAAUAUAAUAGACACCCCUGGAUUCGGUGACACACGUGGUGUGGGAAGAGAUCAAGCAAUGGUCGAUCAAGUGCGAAUAUUGUUUUCCGAGGAAAACCCGGAAGGUAUCUCAAAUAUUGACGCUGUCUGCUUUCUUUUAAAAGCACCUGAUGCUAGGCUAACUUUACCUCAGAUGUAUAUAUUUCAGUCAGUGAUGUCACUUUUCGGUAAUGAUGUAGAAAGGAAUAUAUGUUCUUUAAUUACGUUUGCCGAUGGGAAAGAGCCCCCAGUAUUGGCUGCAAUGAAAUGCCAUUCGGCUGUACAUUCCCUUUUAAUAACUGUGCCCUCUACGCAAAAAAAAUGUAAAGUUAAGUAAUGCAAGUUUGUCGCCAAUGUUCUGGGAUAUAAGUGUUUCAGGUUUCCGUAGUUUCUUUGAAUACCUGGACGGAGUCGAAAGCUGCAGUCUUGAAAAAACUAGAGACGUUCUGCGUGAGCGGUCAAAAUUAGAUGCUGUUGCCAAGAAACUACAGCCGCUUAUUGACUUCGGGCUUUUGAAAACAGGUCGCCUACGUCAAGAACAAAACGAAAUAUUAGAAACCAGGCGUUCACUUGAACGUAACAAAACUUUAAAAUUGAGGUCAUAGAAGAACAACAAAGAAAGCGUGAUUUGCCGAGGGGACAGUAUGUAACAAAUUGUCUACACUGUAACAUAUCGUGUCAUGUCAAUUGCACAUGUUCCAUUGCGGAUAAGGCUAAAUGUAGUGUUAUGAAUGCUUAUGGCUAUUGUAAAUUUUGUCCUGGUAAAUGCCGUUGGCAACAUCAUGCUACUACUCCAUAUAUAUUUGAAAGGGUUACUGUAAAGUGAAGAAAACGUAUCCUGAAAUGCAACAAAAAUAUUUUGAACAAACUCAAAGACUGUGUUCGCAAGAAAUUCUCGUCAAGAAUCUAAAACAAGAACUGAACGAUAUAUUUGAUAACGCACAAGGUCUGAUGGCUGAAUUUCAAAAAUGUACGAACAGACUGAAAGAAAUAGCUUUGCAAGGAAACCCUUUCGUGAUGUUAGAAGAGCAUUUAGAUGUAUUACUUGAAAAUGAGAAAUUAGAAAGAAAAGAGGGUUUCAUGCAGAGAAUAUCACUUUUAAAGGAAAUGCAGAAAAGAGCAUGCAUGCUUCAGUAUUUCGAACAGUUUCAAGAAGAGUCAAAAAAGUUGUAGUUACACUGCUGAAUGGCAUAGACGUUUAUUUCAGUUUGAAAGAAAAACAUGUGCGUGCAAAGGAACAAAAAUUAUCAUAUACCAUUCAAUCAUAUCAGAAAAUUACCUUAUUUUAGUAAAAGGUAUUAAGAUCUACAAGGGAGUUCAAUAAAUACCCAGAAAGGUU